GGGUUGUGAGGUUAAGCGACUAAGCGUACACGGUGGAUGCCCUGGCAGUCAGAGGCGAUGAAGGACGUGCUAAUCUGCGAUAAGCGUCGGUAAGGUGAUAUGAACCGUUAUAACCGACGAUUUCCGAAUGGGGAAACCCAGUGUGUUUCGACACACUAUCAUUAACUGAAUCCAUAGGUUAAUGAGGCGAACCGGGGGAACUGAAACAUCUAAGUACCCCGAGGAAAAGAAAUCAACCGAGAUUCCCCCAGUAGCGGCGAGCGAACGGGGAGCAGCCCAGAGCCUGAAUCAGUGUGUGUGUUAGUGGAAGCGUCUGGAAAGGCGCGCGAUACAGGGUGACAGCCCCGUACACAAAAAUACACAU
rnacentral:rRNA from 2 species